UUCAAUAAUAUGUUGAACCAGAGUGUCUAGCCACUAAUCCGCUGCUAUUUUUACGGCUUUAGAGCAAAACUAGGCAUUGCCAUUACUAAAUAGGUCCUGAAAAGCGUAGAAAUAAAAUAUAUCGUUCUUUUCAAAGGAAAAGACAAUGUAAAUCUUCUCUAAAAGAAGAAUAAGAGUUAAAAUAAAAAGUGCAAAAUGUCCAUGACUUUUGGGGUGUGUUUGAUAACUUUCUCUGCAGUUUCCCUGGGAUUCUUCUAGCAGCUAACUUUCCUCGAAUCUGGGAGAAAGUGAGAAUUGGUCUGAAAGCUGGGAACCUUGUUUCAUAAACUGCGAUGCUGCUAUUUUCGAGUGUUUGGUAAUGUUGAUGCUGGGAAGCACGAAACAGCCUGAUUUAACCGUUCAUUAUGAAUUUCCAUUAUUUGAUGAUGUGUGUAAUGUAUAUUUUUUAAUAAGAAUACAUUAAUAAGAUUUUCUUGCUACUACCUAACUAAUGCAUUUCUUACAAUGUAUGGUUAAAAUUGAAAUUUAAUCUCACAUCUAUGUAACUUAAGAAAUAGCCUCAAUAAAAUUGCAACAAGUAUAAGGAACCAGAGAGGUGGAGUUAAUCACACAGAAUUCUUAAGCCAAGUGAAACUAAAAGUAUGUUCCCAAUCAUGAUACUUCCGCAAUUUUUAUAUAUGUGAAAUCAACGAGCAAGAGACAUGAAAAAUAAUAUAGAGACUAAAAGAACUAAAUUGCUUAUGAAUAUUACAAAGCAAGAAAAACAUCAAUAAAUUAGAGAAUUCUUAAGCCUCGAUAUUUUACAUGAUCCGGGCGGGUUAAAAUUAGAGAAGUAUUACAAAUAAUUUUACUACAAGAACAACAUCAAUAAAUUGCAUAGCUAAAUAUACUAAUCUCAAAACUUUGAAUGCUUGGUAUACAAGCAUAACACAACAUUGUAUGUACCGAAUAAUAUGUAUUAUCAAACUUACAACUUCUUUUUUGUUUUGCUGUUGUGUUCAAACUUACAACUUCCAAAUUGAAUUAUAUGACAAACAUCCCAGUUCAAUCUAGAAUGAUCUUGUCACAUACAUAAUUAAGUAAACACAGUUAAAAAUUUCAAUUUCACAGCUUUCUAUUACCCAGUGAGAGAUAAUGUCAUUCAACAACAGCAUAACAAAAUUAAAACCCAUAGCAAAAGUAACUGGAAAAACCCAAGAAUAUAUCAUUCUGCAAAAGAUAUUCCUCCAUAACUUUCAACCCAAUAAGUACAAAAACCAAAUAACAGAAAACACCCCAUAAAUUAUAUAAGCAAAUGACAAUAAAACAGAACCCGGUUUUACAACCUCCUAAAUAAGCUUUCAUCAAUAAAUAAAAAUAAAAAGAAUAAAAGAAUACUUAGAUUAUUAACUCAUAAAACCAAAUGAAAAUUAGUUCAAUGACACACCACAAAAACAACAUUAACAAUGAUAGCAACAAAGAUCAAUUAAUCAAACACCUAAAGCCCAAAAAAUUUUACAUAGUAGAUACAAAAUCAAACUAAUCAAACUCUCGAGCCCCAAAUGGUACUUCUCAAUAAACAGAAAACCCACAUCAAAAUUUAUGUGACAAACUAGAAAAAUAAAACAUAAAUGAUAAAUAAACUCUGCGAAUAUGGGGGUAUUCUUCUCUGUGUGUAACCAGUUUUAAAAAAUAAAUAAAUAAAAAAUCAAAUAAAAAAUCUCUCUGUAGGCUUGGGAUUAAUCUUGUUUGAGAUUAAUCAGAAAAGCAAGAACGUAAAUCAGAAAUAAAAUCUCAUUUAGAUCUGGGAUUGUAUUUGUUGAGCUCUAAAAAAUUAAAAAACUAAAAGGACUCACUGUAGCUUUCUCUGCGCUCUUAGCUUGCAGCAAUAGGGGCGAUGAGGGGAAUAGACCUGAGACGAGGAGGACAGGAGUUGCGGGAGGGUUGACCUUCGUUGGGGCGAGUGGCAAUGGACUAUUGAGUUGCUAGGGUUUUGAGUGAGAAAGGGUUAGAGAGAUGGAACCAGGGUCCCCGGCGUUGAUGAACGUUUUCCCGCCCGGAUGAGUUCUUGCCCGUUUAACUUUCCGUGAAAGUUGUAGAGCCGGGUUACCCAUGUUCCGCAACUUUCCCAUUUGAAACAGCAUUUUGGGGAAUAUGGUGGCUUCGACUUUCGAAUUUUUUUUCUGUUUUCAAACUAGGGAAAGCUAUAUAGUUGAUGAGAAGUCGGGGACUUUCCCAAAAUAUUCACCGUUAUCAAACGUCCCUUUACUGGUUUUGGUGUGUGACCUCAACCGAUGAAUAGCACAAUGUACGCCGCCCACCCAUUUUCGUGGGAUGAAAUCGGACGGACAAUAAAUACCUUAAC
rnacentral:lncRNA from 1 species